AAUAAGCGUUGUUGUAGGUUUAAUUGUCUAACUUUAAUUAUUCGUCUUAUUUAAAAUAUUUUUAUUGUUAUUAGAUGAUAAAAUAUAAAUAGUACUUUAUGAGUGACUUAACUUUUUAAUUUUUUUCAUAAUUUUUUUAAAUAAUAUGGACGGUUACACGUUGGGCAUGGAAACUUGCUUCACUUAUA
rnacentral:pre_miRNA from 1 species